rnacentral:rRNA from 1 species
UGGGGAAUUUUGGACAAUGGGGGAAACCCUGAUCCAGCCAUCCCGCGUGUGCGAUGAAGGCCUUCGGGUUGUAAAGCACUUUUGGCAGGAAAGAAACGUCGCGGGUUAAUACCCCGCGAAACUGACGGUACCUGCAGAAUAAGCACCGGCUAACUACGUGCCAGCAGCCGCGGUAAUACGUAGGGUGCAAGCGUUAAUCGGAAUUACUGGGCGUAAAGCGUGCGCAGGCGGUUCGGAAAGAAAGAUGUGAAAUCCCAGAGCUUAACUUUGGAACUGCAUUUUUAACUACCGGGCUAGAGUGUGUCAGAGGGAGGUGGAAUUCCGCGUGUAGCAGUGAAAUGCGUAGAUAUGCGGAGGAACACCGAUGGCGAAGGCAGCCUCCUGGGAUAACACUGACGCUCAUGCACGAAAGCGUGGGGAGCAAACAGGAUUAGAUACCCUGGUAGUCCACGCCCUAAACGAUGUCAACUAGCUGUUGGGGCCUUCGGGCCUUGGUAGCGCAGCUAACGCGUGAAGUUGACCGCCUGGGGAGUACGGUCGCAAGAUUAAAAACUCAAAUGAAUUGACGGGGGUCAUAGCUG